CACGUAGGGCGCAAGCGUUGUCCGGAAUUAUUGGGCGUAAAGAGCUCGUAGGCGGUCUGUUGCGUCCGCUGUGAAAACUCGGGGCUUAACCCCGAGCCUGCAGUGGAUACGGGCAGACUAGAGGUAGGUAGGGGAGAAUGGAAUUCCCGGUGUAGCGGUGAAAUGCGCAGAUAUCGAGAGGAACAUCGGUGGCGAAGGCGGCCUUCUGGACGGUGACUGACGCUGAGAUGCGAAAGCGUGGGGAGCAAACAGG
rnacentral:rRNA from 1 species